rfam:Candidate division NC10 bacterium RIFCSPLOWO2_02_FTLL_66_22 rifcsplowo2_02_scaffold_945, whole genome shotgun sequence.
GAACCCCUACCGUGCGCGUGAUGCGGUAACUUUUUUUGAGCCAACACCCUCAGAACGGGGAUCCCUCCGAGAACGUGGUGAGCAGGCCUGUCCGCCUCGGCGGAAGGGAAGCCUAAAGCGUUUGCGGGACCCCCACCUGGUUAUCCAGGUUCAAACGAGGACCAGCACACGGCACAAUGGUAGGGGUUGU